CCGCCUGGGGAGUACGGCCGCAAGGCUAAAACUCAAAGGAAUUGACGGGGACCCGCACAACCAGUGGAGCGUGUGGUUCAAUUUGAGACGAAGCAAAAAACCUCACCAGGGUUUGACAUCCCGCCGUUCAAUCUUGUGGAAACACGAGAGGAUUUCGAGAAAUCGAAAUGGCGGGACAGGUGUUGCAUGGCUGUCGUCAGCUCGUGCCGUGGGGUGUCCCGUUAAGUCGGGUAACGAGCGCAACCCCUUCCAUAUGUUGAAUAUUCAUAUGGGACUGCCCCGCCUUUUGGCGGGGAGGAAGGAGGGGACGACGUCAAGUCAGCAUGGCCCUUAUAUCUGGGGCGACACACAUGCUACAAUGGCGCCGACAAAGGGUUGCCAAGCCGCAAGGCGGAGCUAAUCCUAUCUAAACGGCGUCUCAGUUGGGAUUGCGGGCUGAAACUCGCCCGCAUGAACGCGGAAUUGGUAGUAAUCGCAGGUCAGCUAUACUGCGGUGAAUACGUUCUCGCUUUUUGUACACACCGCC
rnacentral:rRNA from 1 species